AAGCGGAGGAAAAGAAACCAACAGGGAUUGCCCCAGUAACGGCGAGUGAAGCGGCAACAGCUCAAAUUUGAAAUCUGGCCUUCUGGUCCGAAUUGUAAUUUGUAGAGGAUGCUUUUGGUUAGGUACCUUCCGAGUUCCUUGGAACAGGACGCCUUAGAGGGUGAGAGCCCCGUACGGUUGGAUGCCGAGCCUCUGUAAAGCUCCUUCGACGAGUCGAGUAGUUUGGGAAUGCUGCUCUAAAUGGGAGGUAAAUUUCUUCUAAAGCUAAAUACCGGCCAGAGACCGAUAGCGCACAAGUAGAGUGAUCGAAAGAUGAAAAGCACUUUGAAAAGAGGGUUAAAUAGUACGUGAAAUUGUUGAAAGGGAAGGGCUUAUGACCAGACCUUUGCCUUGCGGAUCAUCCGGUGUUCUCACCGGUGCACUCCGCUUGGUUGAGGCCAGCAUCAGUUCUGGCAGCGGGAUAAAGACUUCAGGAAUGUGACUCCUCCGGGAGUGUUAUAGCCUGUUGUGUAAUACCGCUGCUGGGACUGAGGACCGCGCUUCGGCUAGGAUGCUGGCAUAAUGGUCAUCAGCCACCCGUCUUGAAACACGGACCAAGGAGUCGAACAUUUAUGCGAGUUUUUGGGUGUUAAACCCUCAAGCGUAAUGAAAGUGAACGGAGGUGAGAGCCCUUACGGGUGCAUCAUCGACCGAUCCUGAUGUCUUCGGAUGGAUUUGAGUAAGAGCAUAACUGUUCGGACCCGAAAGAUGGUGAACUAUGCGUGGAUAGGGUGAAGCCAGAGGAAACUCUGGUGGAGGCUCGCAGCGGUUCUGACGUGCAAAUCGAUCGUCAAAUCUGCGCAUGGGGGCGAAAGACUAAUCGAACCAUCUAGUAGCUGGUUACCGCC
rnacentral:rRNA from 1 species